rnacentral:rRNA from 1 species
UACGUAGGGGGCUAGCGUUGUCCGGAUUUAUUGGGCGUAAAGAGCGUGUAGGCGGCCAGAUAGGUCCGUUGUGAAAACUAGAGGCUUAACCUCUAGACGUCGAUGGAAACUGUUUGGCUAGAGUCCGGAAGAGGAGAAUGGAAUUCCUGGUGUAGCGGUGAAAUGCGCAGAUAUCAGGAAGAACACCCGUGGCUAAGGCGGUUCUCUAGUACGGUACUGACGCUGAGACGCGAAAGCGUGGGGAGCGAACAGG